AGCAGCCGCGGUAAUUCCAGCUCCAAUAGCGUAUAUUAAAGUUGCUGCAGUUAAAAGCUCGUAGUUGAAUUUCGGGACUAAUGUGUCGGUCGUGCCUCGGUACGUACUGGUUUAUUGGUUUCUCCUUUCUGAAGAACCAUGAUGUCAUUUAUUUGGUGUCGUGGGGAAUCAGGACUGUUACUUUGAAAAAUUAGAGUGUUUAAAGCAGGCUCACGCUUGAAUACAUUAGCAUGGAAUAAUGAAAUAGGACGUUUGAUUCUAUUUUGUUGGUUUCUAGGAUCGACGUAAUGAUUAAUAGGGAUAGUUGGGGGCAUUAGUAUUCAAUUGUCAGAGGUGAAAUUCUUGGAUUUAUUGAAGACUAACUACUGCGAAAGCAUUUGCCAAGGAUGUUUUCAUUAAUCAAGAACGAAAGUUAGGGAUCGAAGACGAUCAGAUACCGUCGUAGUCUUAACCAUAAACUAUGCCGACUAGGGAUCGGGAUGAUGUUAAUUUUUAUGUACUCAUUCGGCGCCUUACGGGU
rnacentral:misc_RNA from 1 species